AGUGAACGCUGGCGGUAGGCCUAACACAUGCAAGUCGAACGGCAGCACAGUAAGAGCUUGCUCUUACGGGUGGCGAGUGGCGGACGGGUGAGGAAUACAUCGGAAUCUACUUUGUCGUGGGGGAUAACGUAGGGAAACUUACGCUAAUACCGCAUACGACCUACGGGUGAAAGCAGGGGAUCUUCGGACCUUGCGCGAUUGAAUGAGCCGAUGUCGGAUUAGCUAGUUGGCGGGGUAAAGGCCCACCAAGGCGACGAUCCGUAGCUGGUCUGAGAGGAUGAUCAGCCACACUGGAACUGAGACACGGUCCAGACUCCUACGGGAGGCAGCAGUGGGGAAUAUUGGACAAUGGGCGAAAGCCUGAUCCAGCCAUACCGCGUGGGUGAAGAAGGCCUUCGGGUUGUAAAGCCCUUUUGUUGGGAAAGAAAAGCAGCAGGUUAAUACCCCGCUGUUCUGACGGUACCCAAAGAAUAAGCACCGGCUAACUUCGUG
rnacentral:rRNA from 1 species